CAGCCGCCACGGGAAUACGUAGGUGGCAAGCGUUGUCCGGAAUUAUUGGGCGUAAAGGGCUCGCAGGCGGUUUCUUAAGUCAGAUGUGAAAGCCCCCGGCUCAACCGGGGAGGGUCAUUGGAAACUGGGAAACUUGAGUGCAGAAGAGGAGAGUGGAAUUCCACGUGUAGCGGUGAAAUGCGUAGAGAUGUGGAGGAACACCAGUGGCGAAGGCGACUCUCUGGUCUGUAACUGACGCUGAGGAGCGAGAGCGUGGGGAGCGAACAGGAUUAGAUACCCCCGUAGUCCCUGUCUCUUAUAU
rnacentral:rRNA from 1 species